CCAGCCUCUGGACUCUGCCUGCACUUCCUGCUCCACCAGAUGACGCGCUGCCGCCGCCGCUAUUUAUUUGUGGUUUCCGUCCCUCUCGGCGCCUAAGCCCGCUGUUCUCCCGGUGUCCGGGGAAGGGGGCCUGGGAAGCCAGGGGGACUGUGGAGCGCUCCUUCCACUCCCCUCCAAAUUGUCCUUUGUUGCUCUGGAGCUGAUGGUCCCAGCCCUGUAAAAAGGCAGCUUUCAUGCAGCCUAAGCUGGAGCCAGCCCUUCAAGGGACAUCUGGCCCAUCACAACCUUGACCUAUCAGAGUGGAGCUUCCUGUUUUCCCAGAGUUCUUCUCAUCAAAGGCAACAUCUACUUGUUGGACAAAAA